GACGAACUGUCCUAACGUUGUUCGGAAUCACUGGGCUUAAAGGGCGCGUAGGCGGUCGACCAAGUCAGGGGUGAAAUCCCGCAGCUUAACUGCGGAAGUGCCUUUGAUACUGGUCGUCUGGAGGGAGAUAGGGGUGUGUGGAACUCCAGUGGAGCGGUGAAAUGCGUUGAGAUCGGAAGGAACGCCCGUGGCGAAAGCGAGGUCCUGGACGCCUACUGACGCUGAGACGCGAAAGCCAGGGGAGCGAACGGG
rnacentral:rRNA from 1 species